CNUUUCGAGGGGUAUGGUUCUUCGGAACCAGAGACCGGCGCACGGGUGCGUAACGCGUAUGCAAUCUACCUUUUACAGAGGGAUAGCCCAGAGAAAUUUGGAUUAAUACCUCAUAGNAUAUCAGCUCCGCAUGAAGCCACUAUUAAAGUCACAACGGUAAAAGAUGAGCAUGCGUCCCAUUAGCUAGUUGGUAAGGUAACGGCUUACCAAGGCUACGAUGGGUAGGGGUCCUGAGAGGGAGAUCCCCCACACUGGUACUGAGACACGGACCAGACUCCUACGGGAGGCAGCAGUGAGGAAUAUUGGACAAUGGGCGCAAGCCUGAUCCAGCCAUGCCGCGUGCAGGAUGACGGUCCUAUGGAUUGUAAACUGCUUUUAUACGAGAAGAAACACUACUUCGUGAAGUAGCUUGACGGUAUCG
rnacentral:rRNA from 1 species